AAACGUACGCUGGCGGCACGCCUAACACAUGCAAGUCGAACGAAGUAGCAAUACUUAGUGGCAGACGGGUGAGUAACAUGUAGGUAUCUGCCCUUUGGCCUGGAAUAACACGAGGAAACUUGUGCUAAUACCGGAUAAGUCUUUACGGAGAAAGCUUUAUGCACCAUUGGAUGAGCCUGCACUUGAUUAGUUUGUUGGUGGGGUAAUGGCCUACCAAGACUGUGAUCAAUAGCUGAUUUGAGAGGAUGAUCAGCCACAUUGGGACUGAGACACGGCCCAAACUCCUACGGGAGGCAGCAGUGGGGAAUCUUGCACAAUGGAGGAAACUCUGAUGCAGCGAUGCCGCGUGAGUGAAGAAGGCCCUUGGGUUGUAAAGCUCUUUCGUCGGGGAAGAAAAUGACUGUACCCGAAUAAGAAGGUCCGGCUAACUUCGUGCCAGCAGCCGCGGUAAUACGAAGGGACCUAGCGUAGUUCGGAAUUACUGGGCUUAAAGAGUUCGUAGGUGGUUGAAAAAGUUAGUGGUGAAAUCCCAGAGCUUAACUCUGGAACUGCCAUUAAAACUUUUCAGCUAGAGUAUGAUAGAGGAAAGCAGAAUUUCUAGUGUAGAGGUGAAAUUCGUAGAUAUUAGAAAGAAUACCAAUUGCGAAGGCAGCUUUCUGGAUCAUUACUGA
rnacentral:rRNA from 1 species